GAGGGGCUGAUUACGCACACGAAGUUGACUUCGAUUGGGGCGCCCAGGUUCCCGAGCCCCUCUCGGGGUCUUGCAGCGCGGACACCUCGGGAAAGGGACCAGGAGGAAGCCCCUUGGCUUCCACGGUCUCGGGAGCCUGGCUCCGCUGCCGCUGGCCCGCCCGGUGCGGGGCAGCCCGGCGCAGCGCGCCCGGCCCUCUGCUUACGUGACUGGUGGCCACGCCAGAGCCCCGGCACCGGCACUCCGAGAAAACAGGAGAGAAGAAAAGAACGCACCACCGACCACGCUACACAAAUCCUUGUUUUUGCCUUAAGCUACUGCACGAUUUCGCUGCCAUCACACGGUUACUUUAACCCCGAAGGCCUGGGGUGUCGGUCAGCUAAGGUGUUUUUGUGUUUGAGGGUUGUUGUUGUGUUUGGGGGAGGGGGAGUAGGUUGCAAGAUCUGACACGUUGCAAUCGGACCCUUUCUUUCUUUUCUUUCUUUUCUUUCUUUCUUCCUUUCUUUCUUUCUCUCUCUCUCUCCUCUCUCUCUCAUCUCAUUGAUCUUCCUACUUGUUCGGACAGAUUAAACAGCCUGCUUUUCUCUACUCUGUCAGUCUAUAUUCCUCGGCCCCUUCGCCCUUCUCGCAGCUAUUAUUUGUGAGGACCGUGCUGGAAACGCCGCACACGCGUGCCCCCGUUAACGGCGCUGAGCGACUGCCUGGGGAGGAUGGGGGAACCCAGUUGGCAGAGGCAAAAAUGAAACAAACAAAUACAAAAAGGAGGCCAGGCCGGGGUGGGGCUCCCAGCACCACCACCCCCAAGCAUCGCUCUCCACCUGAAUCUGGGGUGGGGGGGAACAGUAGAAAUCCACGAGGAAGGCAUUUGCCUUCCUCGCCCAGCGCGCUCACUCGGGAGCCGUAUCCCGGAAAAUAAAAAAAACCGAACAUAACAGCCUACACCUUCUUCCAUAACUAUUGUUUCCUGCGAGAUCCCAAAGUUUCCUUCUGGCUGCGUCCCCCUCGCCAAGUUUCCCGGGCGCAGGGCGGCGGGUCCGGGGCGAGCUGCUGGCGGUGCUUGGCUUUGCCGGCCUGUUUCUUUCGGGGGGGGGGGAGGCGGUGAGGAAACCACAGGGCACCAGAGGCGCAGGAGGACUGUAUCCGUGGACGCGAUGGCCUGAGCCCAGCCUUGCUGCGAGAGGAGAGGAAAAAGCAAAGUAGACAGGAGGGAGAAGAAGACCCGAGCCAGCCCGAGCCCACGCCGUGGAGGGCUGUUUGGUUGUUGGUGUUAUCGUUGUCGUGUGUGUCUGUGUGUUUUCUUUCUGGAACCGCUAAGCUCUGCCUACAGUUUCCAACUUUCGGCUUCUAAUCCCCACCCCACCCAGGAACGAGCGACAGAAAAACAACACUUGUCUGCCCGAGAAGGCUCCGGAAAAAAAAAAAAAAAGGAAGAAAGGCGACCUCGAAGAGAUGAGCUCUCGGCUCAGUUGUCAGCAAACAACAACACUCCCCCGCUCCUCGGCCCAGCGGUCCUGCCAGCCUCUGGGAGACGGACAGACGGACGCACCGACAGGCCCCCCCCUUCCCCCCGCUCGUCUUUGUUACAUCUUUAGCAGCUUUGUGCGUAGCUGGCGGCCUCGAGCAGAAUCUGCACGUUCUGCAGAAAAGUGUUGAUGUGCUUCUCCAUCGAGUUCUCGCUGGUGUUGAAAAUGUCCGAGAAGGGGCACCUGAGCUUGGCCCCCGCGAGCUCCUCUGGCUGGGCCGGGGGCUCGGGCGCGGUCACGGCCGGGGGCGCGGCGGGGGCCAGCCCCGCACCCUCGCAGCGCGCCUCCUUGCGCGGCCGCCCGCGUUUGCCCAUGGAGGAACCGGGGUCCGCCGAGCUCGUCCUGUUUUGGGGCGGCGCGGCCCGACCAAGCUCCGGGCCCCAGGGGAGAACCGGCUGGCUGGAGCGAAGAAGGCGCCGAGGCGAGGAGGCGACCUGACUUCCCAAGCCUCGCUCCGUGCAGUUGUGUGUCUGAGUACCCAGUGAGAGUCUGCAGGAACCAUGGGUGCUCUCCAGGCCCGGGAAGGACGGUGCGAGUCAGGAGUGCCAUAGAGAAGGAUUCAAGUCCCAGCUCAGCUGCAUACAGACUGCGUGUGUGCCUGGAUCUGCAAGCUUCAGAAAGACCAGUGGGAAUCUUCAAGCUGGGCCACGAAUCUGACCAAAGCCAAAACAAACAAUGGCUUGAAGAAAAUCUCCAAAAAUUGCUGAUUUGCACUAUUCCCACAGUCAGCCACAGCCCCCGCCAUCAUUCCAAUGGAAAACAUCACUGCUGGUGCCAAAUCAAGUCUUCCCCCCCAUCAUAGGGGCAUUGUUUUCUGUUGUUAUGUGAGUUCUUAGCAUCAGACAAUGGCACCACAAGAGACACGUUGGAAGCAGGAGAAACGCCUUUUUGUUUCACAAAGUCUAUGCUGUUGUGCCCCAGAGUGUCACAUACAGUAUAGUUGCAUAUAUUCAUUUUGGUAACGUGUCUGUGGAGCGAUGAAUGUGCUGAAGCUCGAAUGUCCUUCCUUAUUUUUUUCAGAGUCCAUCAAGUGUUAAAUCAUGUUAGCAUCCCUCCUCCCUCACCA